UAACACUAGGGGAGCCAAUUGGCUGAGAGUGGAUUUAUCCCGACCCUUAUGACCUGACCUAGGUAAUGCUAGCGUAGGGAAGUGUGUAU
rnacentral:ncRNA from 1 species